rnacentral:rRNA from 1 species
GAUAAACGCUGGCGGCGCACAUAAGACAUGCAAGUCGAACGGACUUAACCAUUAGUUUACUAUUGGAGCGGUUAGUGGCGGACUGGUGAGUAACACGUAAGCAACCUGCCUAUCAGAGGGGAACAACAGUUAGAAAUGACUGCUAAUACCGCAUAUGCCUAAGUACCACAUGGUACAAUAGGGAAAGGAGCAAUCUGCUGAUAGAUGGGCUUGCGUCUGAUUAGAUAGUUGGUGGGGUAACGGCUUACCAAGUCGACGAUCAGUAGCCGGACUGAGAGGUUGAACGGCCACAUUGGGACUGAGAUACGGCCCAGACUCCUACGGGAGGCAGCAGUCGGGAAUAUUGCGCAAUGGAGGAAACUCUGACGCAGUGACGCCGCGUGCAGGAAGAAGGUUUUCGGAUUGUAAACUGCUUUAGACAGGGAAGAAACAAGACAGUACCUGUAGAAUAAGCUCCGGCUAACUACGUG